UGCUUCUUCCUCUUUCUUAAUAUUUUACUUAGUUUCUUAUUUUAGUCUUCUUUCUCUCUUUAAUAUAGAAAAUCUUUUACCUUUGAGGUCACUGAAAUUGGAUUUUUCAUGUGAUAAGAAUUGGUAAAGUACCACAGUAUCCUCAUACUAUUGCUCAAUGGAGUCUCUUUAGAUUUUGAAUUACUGGUGCUUUAUGCUUAGGUACUUAGAGAAGUGCUUCCUCAGUUGUCAUAUCUACUCUCAAGUCUCAAUCGAUGUUCCAGUUACAGGUUGAAGGUCUUGGAUUUUGUAGCUCUCAGAAGAGUUCUGUGUCAAUCUUCAAUGUAGCGAAACCAGAAAGUGCUAUCUCAUGGUUGAAUAGAGCGCACAAGGGUCGCGAUGUAUGAGGAUGAUGUAAAGCUUGAUUACUUGCAAAAUUGCGGAGGAUUUAUUUUAGGGGGCAAGACUGGCCCAUGACAAAGGAAGCUCACCUGUUAACAAGGAGCCAAUCCACGAGAAAUUUUAGAUAGCCCAACCUUACAGCUUUGGCAACUGAUUUUUUUUAAUUCCAUCUUCUAUGAGGGAUCCAAUGCUCACUCAUCACAUGCUUAUCUUGCUAACUGAAUUAUUACCAUUAAAAGUAGUAUUGCUUAUCUCAGCUCUGUUUGUAUUGGCAGUUAAAUAGAAAUAGAUGACGAUGAAUAUUACUCGUGACAAUGGAACUGGAAUGAUAAAGGUCAGUUCUUA